AUUCCCCGCUGAACUGACUGA
rnacentral:siRNA from 1 species